rnacentral:rRNA from 1 species
CCUACGGGGGGCAGCAGUGAGGAAUAUUGGUCAAUGGGCGGAAGCCUGAACCAGCCAAGUCGCGUGAGGGAAGAAGGCCCUGCGGGUCGCAGACCUCUUUGGACGGGGAGCAAGGCCGCCGACGUGUCGGCGGAAGGAGAGUACCCGUAGAACAAGCAUCGGCUAACUCCGUGCCAGCAGCCGCGGUAAUACGGAGGAUGCGAGCGUUAUCCGGAUUUAUUGGGUUUAAAGGGUGCGUAGGCGGAAUGCCAAGUCAGCGGUAAAAUCGCGGGGCUCAACCUCGCUCCGCCGUUGAAACUGGCGUU